AGUGAACGCUGGCGGUAGGCCUAACACAUGCAAGUCGAACGGCAGCACAGUAAGAGCUUGCUCUUACGGGUGGCGAGUGGCGGACGGGUGGGGAAUACAUCGGAAUCUACUUUUUCGUGGGGGAUAACGUAGGGAAACUUACGCUAAUACCGCAUACGACCUACGGGUGAAAGCAGGGGAUCUUCGGACCUUGCGCGAUUGAAUGAGCCGAUGUCGGAUUAGCUAGUUGGCGGGGUAAAGGCCCACCAAGGCGACGAUCCGUAGCUGGUCUGAGAGGAUGAUCAGCCACACUGGAACUGAGACACGGUCCAGACUCCUACGGGAGGCAGCAGUGGGGAAUAUUGGACAAUGGGCGCAAGCCGGAUCCAGCCAUACCGCGUGGGUGAAGAAGGCCUUCGGGUUGUAAAGCCCUUUUGUUGGGAAAGAAAAGCAGCAGGUUAAUACCCCGCUGUUCUGACGGUACCCAAAGAAUAAGCACCGGCUAACUUCGUG
rnacentral:rRNA from 1 species